rnacentral:lncRNA from 1 species
ACGCUGUGAAGACCUGUGUCACUUGUGAAGUAUCCUACUGUGACGAGUGCCUGAAAGCCACUCACCCGAAUAAGAAGCCCUUUACAGGCCAUCGUCUGAUUGAGCCAAUUCCGGACUCUCACAUCCGGGGGCUGAUGUGCUUGGAGCAUGAGGAUGAGAAGGUGAAUAUGUACUGUGUGACCGAUGACCAGUUAAUCUGUGCCUUGUGU